rnacentral:rRNA from 1 species
UUCUUCUUGAAAGUGAUGAGAAGUAGGCCCUGCCCAGUGUCCUUCGUGGUAAUACCCGGGAUAAACGGCAGCAGUACUCUGACUGUUCGAAGGUAGCGUGAUAGAUAGCCUUUUAAUUGGAGGCCCGUAUGAAUGGGUUAACGGGGAAAGACUGUGCCGGAUGAAAAAUAUUGAAUUUAAUUUCGAGGUGAAGAAGCUUCGAUGUGUGAAAAGGACGACAAGACCCUGAAAGCUUUUGCUAGGAGCGGGAUUUAAGGCAGUUCUGUUGUUAGAGCGGGCUGUGGGGCUCUCUGUAGGGGGAGUGCUAUCAAGGUUGCAUGAUGUGCUCACAGGAUGGGUGGGUCAUGCUGACCGGACUCGUCUUUGCUUUCGUUUUUGUUGGGGCAACAGGUCUAAAAUGUCUAGGCCGCGGUAAAAGACAGACAUGUUUUCAUCCGCUUUAUGAGAGGAGGUGGACAAGUUACUUCAGGGAUAACAGCAUAAUCUUUCUUGAGAGUAUUUAUCGGAAGGGGGGUUUAUGACCU